GACGAACGCUGGCGGCGUGCUUAACACAUGCAAGUCGAACGCUGAAGCUCAGCUUUUGUUGGGUGGAUGAGUGGCGAACGGGUGAGUAACACGUGAGUAACCUGCCUCCUUCUUUGGGAUAACGCCCGGAAACGGGUGCUAAUACUGGAUAUUCACUGGUCUUCGCAUGGGGGUUGGUGGAAAGGGUUUUUCUGGUGGGGGAUGGGCUCGCGGCCUAUUAGCUUGUUGGUGGGGUGAUGGCCUACCAAGGCUUUGACGGGUAGCCGGCCUGAGAGGGUGACCGGUCACAUUGGGACUGAGAUACGGCCCAGACUCCUACGGGAGGCAGCAGUGGGGAAUAUUGCACAAUGGGCGCAAGCCUGAUGCAGCGACGCCGCGUGAGGGAUGGAGGCCUUCGGGUUGUGAACCUCUUUCGCCCAUGGUCAAGCCGCAACAAUGGUUGUGGUGAGGGUAGUGGGUAAAGAAGCGCCGGCUAACUACGUG
rnacentral:rRNA from 1 species